rnacentral:rRNA from 1 species
AUCGGUGACAGGUGGUGCAUGGUUGUCGUCAGCUCGUGUCGUGAGAUGUUGGGUUAAGUCCGCAACGAGCGCAACCCCUACUUGUUAGUUGCCAUCAUUCAGUUGGGCACUCUAGCGAGGACUGCCGGUAAUAAACCGGAGAAGUGGGGAUGACGUCAAAUCAUCAUGCCCCUUAUGACCUGGGCUACACACGUGCUACAAUGGUUGGUACAACGAGUUGCGAGUCGGUGACGGCGAGCUAAUCUCUUAAAGCCAAUCUCAGUUCGGAUUGUAGGCUGCAACUCGCCUACAUGAAGUCGGAAUCGCUAGUAAUCGCGGAUCAGCACGCCGCGGUGAAUACGUUCCCGGGCCUU